CCAGUCGGCCGGCCGGUUGAAUGCUGCCUCCGGCGAUCGCCGGCGUCCGAGCCUCAGAUGUCGCCGACCGUUGAUUGGAGACGAAAUGCCUCGCCUGCCAGCACUAUGUGAUCCGGCCGCAGUGCAGGCGUGCAGGCAAUGAAUUAAUGAUCAAAGGAGAGAAAAAUAUAGCUUGGCCAAGUCACGACAGCUAAAAAAUCACGAUGAGGCAUUUCAGCAUACUUCAAUGAUGAUAUUCUUGGAUAUCGACGGGAAACAUGGUGCUACUGUGGAUACCCUCAUCGUUAAACGGGGCUGUAUAGUCAGGUGUGUAUACAUGUGACAUGCUGUAAUCCUGAGAAGAUUGCAUGGAAGUACAGGUCAUAAGGUCAUUGCCGAAGUAGCUUUCGCCCUCACUCUUUACAGCGGGGCAUAAUUCUGCUGGCCGUGGCAUCCUAGCUUCCCCUUUCUGCUAAUUAAGUUCACCAGGCCUCCACCCAACCGAGUGAAGUGGAUAGUAGGUCCAGAAAAGUGGAGGCAGCCUUACAGAGCUCAGUGUGUGAUCAUUGUAAAGUUUAGUUAGAGCAAGUGCAAACCUCUUGCAACCAGGUAUCUAAAGUUACAUUCCAGUGGCUGAGAUGCAGAGAGUUGUUGGGUGUAGUUUCUUCCAUUUGUAUGCUCGCUGUGGAGAUGGAUCCUCUAUGUAGCAUGCACUGUCAGCUAUGUAGUGCACUUGUAGGAAUUAAUCACUUUUUUGCUAAAUUCAUCCGCCGAUUGAUCUUGCUAGCACUUUAGUGUGUGCUCAUGCUGUAUCAGCAUUUAGAAGCUCAGUUCUGACCAAUGAACGUUGAAUGAAUCCCAUCAGAAGUCUGGCCUGGGAGUUGGGAAGAAGUUCCUGUAAGCUGAACCGAAUUGCACCUGCCUUAGCCCUGGUUCUAUUUGCUACUGCUUACAUACAUGGCUGGGUUUCGGCGCUUCUUUGCCUUCUUUGAUGAGAAAUAAAAUGGCUUGCUUGUUCCUGCCGGAGAGGAAAAAAAAAAUCAAACCGUCGCAUUUGCUGUUGCUUCUGAAGAAAUGAUUUGGUUCUUCUUAUCAGGACAGGGAUAGUUCUGCACGCAGACGUCGGCGUCAGCUGCAUCUGCAAAAUAGCAACGCAAGAACAGAAAUCCUCAGAACAGAUUCAACUCAUCAAGAAGAAGAAGAAGAAGAAUGCGAUCAAGGACUCAAGGUGGUCUACUGUCUUACCGGCUGGCGCCUCUGAAAAGUCACAGAUGUGUAUCUUGCAGGCCAUCCUGCACGUGGCGGCGG